UAAUCAAACGAACUUACCAAGUGAAGUUCGAUGACAAUUAUGUGAACAGGUUUAUUCGACGCGAUUUAUUGUUUACAUGUUGUACAAGUAUCUCCAUUCACUGGCCUUCUACACAGAUUUUUAAAUUAGUCUAUGGAUUUUUUGUUGGUAACACAGGGAAAAUAAAUAAAAUAAAAUUUUAUAUGGUAACAUUCUACCCACUCAUUAUUCACUUCCAUCGACGGAGCUUCAUUUUGUUUAAAGACAUAACAUUGUUAUAUUAUUUCGUUGUAGGGGAGGGUUAAGAUGUUUAUUCGACGCGAUUUAUUGUUUACAUGUUGUACGAUGUUCAGAGAACACAGUGCGAAAUAAUAUAAACAAUGGACUGAGGAAUUGCACUUUUUUAUUCAAGAAAAUCUACAGAUUCAUUACAAAUUGGCAGAUAAUAUGCUGUUAGCAAACUGAUUUGGAUCUGAAAUAAUAUCACGAUUAUAAAACCGUGCAAACACGGAAGAAGAUUCCGUCCAGCCAGCGGUUUUUCGAAUUACAUCGAUACUCACUCCGAGUCUGUUAGCUGAUGAUGUGGAAGCAUGCCGUGUGCUAUGAGCGCUGAAUAUAGAAGUAUCAAUACCACUUUUGAGAAGAAUAUUUUUUAUCCAGUGACCGAGGGUUUGAGAAGAUACUUUAUUGUGAGGUCGUUUGUAACUAAUAAAUAAAUAAUCGUUAUGACGAA